GAUGAACGCUGGCGGCGUGCCUAAUACAUGCAAGUCGAGCGAACGGACGAGAAGCUUGCUUCUCUGAUGUUAGCGGCGGACGGGUGAGUAACACGUGGAUAACCUACCUAUAAGACUGGGAUAACUUCGGGAAACCGGAGCUAAUACCGGAUAAUAUUUUGAACCGCAUGGUUCAAAAGUGAAAGACGGCCUUGCUGUCACUUAUAGAUGGACCCGCGCUGCAUUAGCUAGUUGGUAAGGUAACGGCUUACCAAGGCAACGAUGCAUAGCCGACCUGAGAGGGUGAUCGGCCACACUGGAACUGAGACACGGUCCAGACUCCUACGGGAGGCAGCAGUAGGGAAUCUUCCGCAAUGGGCGAAAGCCUGACGGAGCAACGCCGCGUGAGUGAUGAAGGUCUUCGGAUCGUAAAACUCUGUUAUUAGGGAAGAACAUAUGUGUAAGUAACUGUGUACAUCUUGACGGUACCUAAUCAGAAAGCCACGGCUAACUACGUG
rnacentral:rRNA from 1 species